rnacentral:lncRNA from 1 species
AACUUGGGACUUGUGUACUUCUUGAAAAAAAGAGUUAACAGUCUAAACUCAACGUGAACAUUUUAUGACUGGGAGAUUGAUGUUAACUCAAUUAAUACCAUGGCCACUAUAGAAACUGAUAAACAUUUUCUCAAAGCAUUACUGGACUCUUUCCUUUUAAAAUUAGGGCUUUGAAAUUAGGGAUUUCUGAUGAUUUUAAUGGGAGAGUGCCCCUUUGAAUCUUUGUUAUUUUCCAGUACUGUUUAAGAAGUCUUCUCUGGUCAUCCCCAGGUCUUACCUAGACUUGUCAUCAGAAUUGCUGUUUUUUUCUCCCUCUUCAUUACACAAGGCAAGAAAUGAAAUAUUUAUCCUUGCAGAACUGCUGUCUGUCACAGUUGGUACUUAGUAAGCAUAAAGAAAGAAAUAUUGAAUAUUCCUGGCAAAAAAAAUUAUAAAAAUUCAUUGAAAAUUGUUCACAUAGUAAAAAUUUGUUUUGUUCUGACUUUUGCAUAAAGGUUAUGCUGAUAAACUUUGCUAAGUUACUGACUUUAGCUUCAUGAGAUACUUUUUAGUCAUUCACUAUUUAUUUAAUUCAUUGUUGCCUUUUUGCCUCUGGGGAGAAAUAAUCCAGAAUUUGUGUACACCCACAUGUGUUUUAUUAUAGGUGAACAUGAUUCAUUCUAAUUCCUUGGUUAUUCUUGAGAAGUCAUGUGAUGAUAUUACACAUGAUGUGUGCAAAAAAUAACAUGGAGAAUUGCCAGGAGAGGUGGACUAGGAAGUGUUCAGGAGAAGCGGUGGUAACUGCAUAGCUUAUUAUAGCUACAUCUGUCUUUCAGACUGGCACUUAGGGGUAAUGAUGCUUUGUCAUGCAACCUAAUUAUAUUUGAAAACUUUGAAGGUAACAGUUGUAGUUUAAGUAUUGGUACUGAUGAAAAUCUUUUUUUUUCUGUGACUAUAAAUGAAACAGGUGGUAGUUGUUGGUGAGCUUUAGUAUUCAUAGAUCCUUUCUUCCUUUUCUUUUUCUUUUUUCUUUUCUGUCAUGUCAGGGUUUCUCUGUAUAACCACCUUGGCUGUCCUGGAACUCACUUGGUAGACCACUCUGGUCUUAAACUUUGAGAAAUCUGCCUGUCUCUGCCUCCCAAGUGCUUCUGUACCACUGUGCUCAGUCAUUCUGUUAGUGUUUACUUUUAUUGUUAUUGUUUGAGACAGAGUCUUCCUGAGUAGCUCAGACACGCCAGCAGCUAGUGAUUCUCUGUCCCAGCAUUCUCAGUGCUAAGAUUAUAGAUGUGUAUACUUGGCUUUUUUUUUCCUCCUUAGCUUAUUGACCUGUAGUUAUUGUUAUGAUUUUCUAAAGUCUUUAUGUCCUGUAAUAACUGAUGUAAAUUUUGUGUUUCUAUAGCUCUUAUCCAAAUUUAUGUACAUAAAACAAUUUCAGAUGAUGGCAUUGUCCAGAAGUAUUUUUUUUAAAUUGGAUAUUUUAGUUGUUUAUAUUUCAAAUGUUAUCCCCUUUUCCUGUUUCCCCUCUGCAAACCCCUAUCCCAUCCCCCCUUUACCCUCCUUCUAUGAGGGUGCUCCUCCACCCACCUGCUCCCUCCUCCCAUUGAUGCCAGAUAAAGCCCCUUUAGCUCCUUCAGUCCUUCCCCUAUCUCCUUCAUUGGGGGAUUCCUGUGCUCAGUCCAAUGGUUGGCUGAGAGCAUAUGCAUCUGUAUUGGUCAGGAUCUGGCAGGAUCUCAGGAGGCAGCUGUAUCAGGCUCCUGCCAGCAAGCACUUCUUGGCAUCAGCAAUAGUGUCUGGGUUUGGUGUCUGCAUGUGGGAUGGAUCCCCAGGUGGGGCAGUCUCUAUUCCACUCUUUUCCCCUGUAUUUCCUUUAGACGGGAGCGAUGUCCAGAAAUAUUUUAACAGGUUAAUGUGUAAUUGUUAGAUGGUUGAACUGCUAAAACCUGUUUACCUGAACAUCUAACUUGUAAAUACUUUAUAUCUUGCGUUUCUGUUUGAAGUUCACACAUAAGUGGAAGUAGAACUGCCAAUGCCUAUAACAUUAAUUUCUUCAAAUCCUAUUUUAAUGAUGGUUCUUAAAUGCUUUAACCUCCCAUACAGCCCACCACCCACCAGAGGUAGUAGAAAAGAAAGGUCAUGGGGGAAGUGGACCUGUUUAGAAAGGUACUUUGUAGCAACUCCCAUCUGUGUUGUCUGGAAAUUGGCAGUUCAGUUCACAGGUUAGCAGGCAGCUGCAGCUUGGUGCACACGCAAACACUUCAUGGAUACACCAGCAGUCCAGUUCAGAUGAGUUAGGAUAGUUAACACGAAUCAGCAGUGGUGGCACUAUCUAGUAGAGACAGCUAGGCCACAGCCUGGCUCCAGUCAGCAGGAAGGACCAGCAAGAACACUAGGAAAAGUUCUCAGCUGUGCCUCUCAGGGAAGUGAGGAUCAGCGAAGACUUGAGAUCUGCAAGCAUUGUACAGCGAAGUGUUGUACCAGCAAGUGAAGCUCUCUGUCACUCUGUGGGGUCCUAUUUAUACCCUCCAAACAUCAUGUGUCCUUCAAGUGUCUUGCCUCAGCUCCUAUAUUCAAUCAGCCUGAGUUUGCCGAAGUGGCAAGAAACAGCACUACAUCACCAGAAGUUUUUUUGGUGCAUUUCUCUCUAUGGGUCCUGACAAAUGCAGCUCAACUAAGCAAUGUAAGGCAGACCAGUACCUGCAUGUUGUUAGCAAAGAAUCCUUCAUCACGUGUCCUUUCAUGUUCUUGCUUUAACAGAACAUCCUCUCUCGUGUCUGCUUCAGCGAAACCUUCCUUCAGACUCUGCCUUGGUCUUUCACCCCUGUGUCCAUUUUAACGAAACGAAAUGUUCCUUCACUUGUUUGCCCCAGCAAAACACCGACUUUCCAAAGAACCCUUAAAUUUCCACUUCAAAUGCUUGAUCGAUAUACCCCAUUUUUCACUAUCAGACAUGUACUUAGGUACUUUUUGACUCUAGAGUAAAAAUCAGAACUAUAAUAGG